ACAAGCGGUGGAGCAUGUGGUUUAAUUCGAUGCAACGCGAAGAACCUUACCUACUCUUGACAUCCAGAGAAUUUGCUAGAGAUAGCUUAGUGCCUUCGGGAACUCUGAGACAUGUGCUGCAUGGCUGUCGUCAGCUCGUGUUGUGAAAUGUUGGGUUAAGUCCCGCAACGAGCGCAACCCUUAUCCUUUGUUGCCAGCGAGUAAUGUCGGGAACUCAAAGGAGACUGCCGGUGAUAAACCGGAGGAAGGUGGGAUGACGUCAAGUCAUCAUGGCCCUUACGAGUAGGGCUACACACGUGCUACAAUGGCAUAUACAAAGAGAAGCGAACUCGCGAGAGCAAGCGGACCUCAUAAAGUAUGUCGUAGUCCGGAUUGGAGUCUGCAACUCGACUCCAUGAAGUCGGAAUCGCUAGUAAUCGUAGAUCAGAAUGCUACGGUGAAUACGUUCCCGGGCCUU
rnacentral:rRNA from 1 species